rnacentral:rRNA from 1 species
UUAAGCGACUAAGCGUACACGGUGGAUGCCCUGGCAGUCAGAGGCGAUGAAGGACGUGCUAAUCUGCGAUAAGCGUCGGUAAGGUGAUAUGAACCGUUAUAACCGGCGAUUUCCGAAUGGGGAAACCCAGUGUGUUUCGACACACUAUCAUUAACUGAAUCCAUAGGUUAAUGAGGCGAACCGGGGGAACUGAAACAUCUAAGUACCCCGAGGAAAAGAAAUCAACCGAGAUUCCCCCAGUAGCGGCGAGCGAACGGGGAGCAGCCCAGAGCCUGAAUCAGUAUGUGUGUUAGUGGAAGCGUCUGGAAAGGCGCGCGAUACAGGGUGACAGCCCCGUACACAAAAAUGCACAUGCUGUGAGCUCGAUGAGUAGGGCGGGACACGUGGUAUCCUGUCUGAAUAUGGGGGGACCAUCCUCCAAGGCUAAAUACUCCUGACUGACCGAUAGUGAACCAGUACCGUGAGGGAAAGGCGAAAAGAACCCCGGCGAGGGGAGUGAAAAAGAACCUGAAACCGUGUACGUACAAGCAGUGGGAGCACGCUUAGGCGUGUGACUGCGUACCUUUUGUAUAAUGGGUCAGCGACUUAUAUUCUGUAGCAAGGUUAACCGAAUAGGGGAGCCGAAGGGAAACCGAGUCUUAACUGGGCGUUAAGUUGCAGGGUAUAGACCCGAAACCCGGUGAUCUAGCCAUGGGCAGGUUGAAGGUUGGGUAACACUAACUGGAGGACCGAACCGACUAAUGUUGAAAAAUUAGCGGAUGACUUGUGGCUGGGGGUGAAAGGCCAAUCAAACCGGGAGAUAGCUGGUUCUCCCCGAAAGCUAUUUAGGUAGCGCCUCGUGAAUUCAUCUCCGGGGGUAGAGCACUGUUUCGGCAAGGGGGUCAUCCCGACUUACCAACCCGAUGCAAACUGCGAAUACCGGAGAAUGUUAUCACGGGAGACACACGGCGGGUGCUAACGUCCGUCGUGAAGAGGGAAACAACCCAGACCGCCAGCUAAGGUCCCAAAGUCAUGGUUAAGUGGGAAACGAUGUGGGAAGGCCCAGACAGCCAGGAUGUUGGCUUAGAAGCAGCCAUCAUUUAAAGAAAGCGUAAUAGCUCACUGGUCGAGUCGGCCUGCGCGGAAGAUGUAACGGGGCUAAACCAUGCACCGAAGCUGCGGCAGCGACACUAUGUGUUGUUGGGUAGGGGAGCGUUCUGUAAGCCUGUGAAGGUGUGCUGUGAGGCAUGCUGGAGGUAUCAGAAGUGCGAAUGCUGACAUAAGUAACGAUAAAGCGGGUGAAAAGCCCGCUCGCCGGAAGACCAAGGGUUCCUGUCCAACGUUAAUCGGGGCAGGGUGAGUCGACCCCUAAGGCGAGGCCGAAAGGCGUAGUCGAUGGGAAACAGGUUAAUAUUCCUGUACUUGGUGUUACUGCGAAGGGGGGACGGAGAAGGCUAUGUUGGCCGGGCGACGGUUGUCCCGGUUUAAGCGUGUAGGCUGGUUUUCCAGGCAAAUCCGGAAAAUCAAGGCUGAGGCGUGAUGACGAGGCACUACGGUGCUGAAGCAACAAAUGCCCUGCUUCCAGGAAAAGCCUCUAAGCAUCAGGUAACAUCAAAUCGUACCCCAAACCGACACAGGUGGUCAGGUAGAGAAUACCAAGGCGCUUGAGAGAACUCGGGUGAAGGAACUAGGCAAAAUGGUGCCGUAACUUCGGGAGAAGGCACGCUGAUAUGUAGGUGAGGUCCCUCGCGGAUGGAGCUGAAAUCAGUCGAAGAUACCAGCUGGCUGCAACUGUUUAUUAAAAACACAGCACUGUGCAAACACGAAAGUGGACGUAUACGGUGUGACGCCUGCCCGGUGCCGGAAGGUUAAUUGAUGGGGUUAGCGCAAGCGAAGCUCUUGAUCGAAGCCCCGGUAAACGGCGGCCGUAACUAUAACGGUCCUAAGGUAGCGAAAUUCCUUGUCGGGUAAGUUCCGACCUGCACGAAUGGCGUAAUGAUGGCCAGGCUGUCUCCACCCGAGACUCAGUGAAAUUGAACUCGCUGUGAAGAUGCAGUGUACCCGCGGCAAGACGGAAAGACCCCGUGAACCUUUACUAUAGCUUGACACUGAACAUUGAGCCUUGAUGUGUAGGAUAGGUGGGAGGCUUAGAAGUGUGGACGCCAGUCUGCAUGGAGCCGACCUUGAAAUACCACCCUUUAAUGUUUGAUGUUCUAACGUUGACCCGUAAUCCGGGUUGCGGACAGUGUCUGGUGGGUAGUUUGACUGGGGCGGUCUCCUCCUAAAGAGUAACGGAGGAGCACGAAGGUUGGCUAAUCCUGGUCGGACAUCAGGAGGUUAGUGCAAUGGCAUAAGCCAGCUUGACUGCGAGCGUGACGGCGCGAGCAGGUGCGAAAGCAGGUCAUAGUGAUCCGGUGGUUCUGAAUGGAAGGGCCAUCGCUCAACGGAUAAAAGGUACUCCGGGGAUAACAGGCUGAUACCGCCCAAGAGUUCAUAUCGACGGCGGUGUUUGGCACCUCGAUGUCGGCUCAUCACAUCCUGGGGCUGAAGUAGGUCCCAAGGGUAUGGCUGUUCGCCAUUUAAAGUGGUACGCGAGCUGGGUUUAGAACGUCGUGAGACAGUUCGGUCCCUAUCUGCCGUGGGCGCUGGAGAACUGAGGGGGGCUGCUCCUAGUACGAGAGGACCGGAGUGGACGCAUCACUGGUGUUCGGGUUGUCAUGCCAAUGGCACUGCCCGGUAGCUAAAUGCGGAAGAGAUAAGUGCUGAAAGCAUCUAAGCACGAAACUUGCCCCGAGAUGAGUUCUCCCUGACCCUUUAAGGGUCCUGAAGGAACGUUGAAGACGACGACGUUGAUAGGCCGGGUGUGUAAGCGCAGCGAUGCGUUGAGCUAACCGGUACUAAUGAACCGUGAGGCUUAACCUU